UACGUAGGUGGCAAGCGUUGUCCGGAUUUACUGGGUGUAAAGGGCGUGCAGCCGGAGAGACAAGUCAGAUGUGAAAUCCACGGGCUCAACCCGUGAACUGCAUUUGAAACUGUUUCCCUUGAGUGUCGGAGAGGUAAUCGGAAUUCCUUGUGUAACGGUGAAAUGCGUAGAUAUAAGGAAGAACACCAGUGGCGAAGGCGGAUUACUGGACGAUAACUGACGGUGAGGCGCGAAAGCGUGGGGAGCAAACAGG
rnacentral:rRNA from 1 species